rnacentral:SRP_RNA from 1 species
GUGCCGGCCCUCCGCGACGGAAAGCCGUGAACCCCGCCAGGCCCGGAAGGGAGCAACGGUGUCGGUGAUGCCGGGCGCCGGAGCAAGCUGGUACGGG